rnacentral:lncRNA from 1 species
UUACAGGUUCACGCGUGAGCUGCGCGGCGGCGCGAGGCGAGGGCGUAGCAUCAUAGUUAGCGCUCUACCACCGAGACGAGAGAUAGCGGUACCCCGAGUCGGUUACUUAAGGAUGUAAAGAAUGAAAAGAAUCAAGUUGUAAUAAUCAUAUUAAAUCGGAUUGUAUUUGGAAGUUAAGUGAAAGCUAAUGUAAGAAUCUAAUGAGAUUUGUGAUGCAAAAAUGUAUGAAUGUGAAUGCAUGUAAUAACAUAGAAUGUGUUAUGUUGUUUGAUACCUUCCAUUAUGCAAUCUUGAUUGAAAUGUGUUCCUGGUUGGAACUUCGCACAUUGUAUUGAUUGCUAUGUCUUGAACGUACAGGGGAGACUCUGUCUGCAGUACAGGGGAAACUCUGUCCAUUCGGCGAUCUGUUGGCGUGCCCGAAACCAACCAAAUAGGCGGGCUCGGGGCGUGACAGGUAUAUUACUUGUGUUCUUGCUCUUAGAUGUAUUACACUUGCGUGCAUCGUAUUUGAUCAUGUAUGUUAUUUAAGCAAAUUCCUAGGUGCUUAAUUGUACAUGAUCUGGUUGCUUAGCCUUGGGCGGACAGGAGAGGUGCUGUCCGUUCGACGUCCGUCCGCCGCGCCCGAACCGGACCAGAUUGGUAGCGGUAUCGGGGCGGGGGCGUGACACGCCGGCCUCGAGCUGGGUUGAGCUCGGCUCUAGUGGUUCUGGGUUGGCCGCAGUGAGCUCGGACGGGGACGGCGGGGGCCAGCGGGGGAGACGCCGGAGAUGGGCCUCAACCCGAGGUUGAAGACUCCACAGGUUAAGGUGACAUCCAGAGGCCGACAGCCACGGUGGUUGGAACAAAAUGAGAGAGAAGUUGAGAGGGAGGUUCUUCCGGCGGCCGGAGCAGCUUGCCGGAUGCCGGGACGUGAGAACGGUGAGGGCAGGGAAGGGCUGAGGUCAGCUAGGGUUGGCUGGGGGGUGAUGGUCGGCUAGGGCUAGGGUUUGAACAAGAAAACCCUAACAGCCCUAUUUAUACCAAACGUAAUUUUGCAGCGAACCCCCUCAAGGUUGAUUAUUCACAGUCCAGCCCUCGACAGCACGUGUAUUUUGCACUCCCGCACCUCGACGUUCGAAACCGUGCAAAACGGUACAUAAAAUAUUGGACCUUUCGCAAUUUUUCCAUUUUGCCGAUUUCGACCUCUCAGCGAAGAUUUCGCUAUUCCCGAAGAUCUGUCCGUCGGAUUUUCGAUCGGAUUGCGCCAGCGCGUUCAGCACGACUGGGGCAUUGAAUCUACAACUUGUUUCAUCUCAUUUGGUUACUGAAUUGCGACGAAACCCAUCCCCUCUCCAAUUUUCCAAACACCACGCAUGUACAAAUGUGUAAACCCACUAAACCUUAAAUUCAAAGUCGAAUUUGAAUCCCCUACCCCCAGUAGGUACCUGAAACAUCCUCCACCCAACUCCAGGUCACAUGCAUAGGGCACGAGGGGUUUUAAAAUGCAAGAAUGGCAUGGAACAAAAACCCUCUUUUCGAUAAAACUCCUUUUUCUCGAAAAUCGUGCAUCAAAAUCCAAAUCCGUCAAUGCCAUUGGUUCCAGAAUAGCUGAACCGAAUGAAACGAGCUAUUGGAUUGCUAUGAACGGAGUCCGAUACACGCCAGAAGCCAUAUCUACUCAUCAGCCUCUUCGGAAAACCGGAGUUACUAUUCACCUUAAGUGAUUAGUAAUGAUCACGUAACUUCACCAUUCUAACUCGUUUUCUCCUGAAACUUGACAAGCGCUUAUGUAAUUAAAUUACACACAAAAAUAUUAUCAACAGAGAGUUUAGCUACACUGCCAAAAUCUCAGUCCUUACAACAUACUACACUUGCCCUUUCUAUUCCCAACGCCUUCGUCCAUAACAUUACAAAUAUGCGUAGAUCUGGGUCGUCUCUUUUUUCUUCUCCCACGUGGUGGAAGUAUAAGUGAAUUAUAUGACUCGAUCCAAUAACGACGAUUGGGAACGAGGUGGAACUGCGGUUUAUAAGCCUUACGAUAGGAUGCGACAGUAUACCAAAGAGAACAUAAGCCAUAAUAACCUAUGUUCAUGUGUGAAGAACUAUAAUAUGACAAAAUAUGUGAACAAGCGAUUUAUGUGAUUUGCAAACACAAACAUGAACAAGUAGAAUCUCUUCCAUUGAUAAUCACUUGGUAUUGAUCAUCCCUUCCAGUAAGUACAUCGCUCGUGAGCUCUAAAUCGUCGAACUGUAUAUGCUCUAGCACAUGACAUUCAGCUAUUGAUGGUGUUAUCAACAGUCUAGACACGAUGAAUGGUUCACUGCGUCCAGACACAAUGAAUGGUUCACCAUGUUCCUUGGCCCUAAGGGCAUGUUUGGUUCACUUCUUUUUCACCCUGGAAUCGGAAUCGGAAUGGGCCGAAUCCGUUUGUGGGUGUUUGGUACGCGAAAGUCCCAUUCCGAUUCUGAUUCCCGAGUGGAAUGGGAAUCCCCCAAUCACCUCUUUCUCCAAUUCGGCCUAAAAGGCCGGAUUGAAAGUUGAAUCCGGACAGAAUGGAUAUUUAUUUAGAUUAAAUUUAUUUUUUCAACUUUUUAAUUAAAAUAUGAGUUUAAAUCUAGAAAUUAAAUAUAUAAUUUUAAAUUUUAAUUUGAACUUGAGUUAAAAUUAAAAUUUAAUCGUAUUUCAAAUCUAACUUAUGAAUUUGAAUUUAAAUUAAAUUUGAAUUUAAUUAAAGUUUUGUUCAAAUUUUAUUUAAAACUUAAAGUAUGUUAAGGAUUUUAUAAGUUGGCAGAUUUCGUGAAGGGUUUGGAUAGAGUCUCGAAGAAUUAGAAGAUGAAGAUUGACGAAAAGAAUUGAAGUUUUGUGAUCAAAGACCCUUGAGAACUCAGGUAUGAUUAGAGACAAUUUGUGGUGAAGUUUUCAUUAUUAAAAGAUGUUUAGAAGACUUGUUUUUCUUUUCAUUUUUUUUAAAAAGUUUUCUGAAAAAAAUCAGGGGUCGGGGACCGGUCCUUGAUCAGAGGGACCGGACCCAUCAAGCUUCUCUGCGUAGAAGUUUUGGGAGACCGGUCUCUGGUCUUGAGGACCGGUCCCCGUAAGUGGUUUUCCUUGUUGCGCAGGGAGGGACCGGUCUCUAAAUUGAGGACCGGUUCCCGUACGCAUAUUUUGACAUCUACGCAGCGUAAGACCGGACCUCACCUUGGAGGACCGGUCCCCCAAGGACCGGUCUCCUCGAGAGGAGGACCGGUCUCCUCGAGAGGACCGGACCCUGAGACCGUCGUCUGUUUUUAAAUUCGAGUUUUUGGAAUCCUAGUCUAUCUAGAAGUCUUCUAAACCUAUAAAUAUGAUAUGAGGAUCUCCAUAUGACCUGAGUUGAGCAAGAUAAUCUUUUAGAAACCCGAACGGCUUGAUUUGAGUUUUUUUGAUUCAUGUUUCUCAAGAUCAAGUUUUAGAUCACCGGUUUGAUUCUUCAGUUUUUGAUUCAAACUUUCUUUAAGGAUCAAAUUGGUGAUGUUUUGAUUUGGAUUUCUCCUCAUAUCAUAUGUGCUUUCAAAGAGUUUAAAUCACCAUAAAUUGUUAAAUCUCUACGAGCUUCGGAUGGAGCGUUAGCGCGUGGAUUUCGCGUGAAGACCGUGGAUUCGGUGGGCGUUUCGUGGAAUCGAGGCGUGAGUGGCUGCAAGGAUUUGCAGUGUGAUCGGUUGGAGGAUUUCAAGCGAUCGAGGACUGGCAAAGAUAUUCUACAACGAGAAUUCGGUAUUUCGAAUCUUGUAUUUUUGAUAAAUCACUUGUACUCAUAUUUUCUUAGUGGAUUUCUUUGUGUGGUCGGUCCCGUGGGUUUUUCUCUCCGGUUUGGAGUUUUCCCACGUUAAUUCUCGGUGUGCUGAUUUUAUUUUUCCGCAUUCUAUUUUAAUUUUGCAUCGAGUUUCGAGAUUGUUGCCGUUUACACCUAUUCACCCCCCUCUAGGUGUCUUUUACCUUUUAGAUCCUAGGGAUCCAUAACUUACAAAGUAAAUUUAUGGAUUCAAAUUAAAAUUUAAAUUGUAAUUUUAAGUUUGAAUUUGAAUAGAUCAAAAUUUAGUUUUAAAUUUGGAAUUAUCCACUCAACUUCAAAGUUCAAUCACCUUUUUUUCCAAUCCGGCCUAAGAUGCCAUAUCGAAAGUUGAAUCCGGACGGAAUGGAUAUUUAUUUGGAUUAAAUUUAUUUUUUCAACUUUUUAAUUAAAAUAUGAGUUUAAAUUUAGAAAUUAAAUAUAUAAUUUUAAAUUUUAAUUUGAACUUGAAUUAAAAAUUAAAAUUUAAUCAAGUAUUUCAAAUCUAACUUAUGAAUUUGAAUUUAAAUUAAAUUUUAAUUUAAUUAAAGUUUUAUUCAAAUUUUAUUUAAAACUUAAAUUAAAUUUAUGGAUUCAAAUUAAAAUUUAAAUUGUAAUUUUAAGUUUGAAUUUGAACAAAUCAAAAUUUAGUUUUAUAUUUGGAAUUAUCCACUCAACUUCAAAGUUUAAUUUUUUUUAAAAAAAAUAGAUUUAAAAUUUUGACAUUAUUUUAAAAUUUUGAUGUAAAUUUUUAAUAUUUAAUUUUCAAUUUAAAUUUAAAUUAAUAUAUUAUAAAGAUAAAGUUAAUAUAUUAAUUUGAUUACGUUUUUUUAUAUCUAUUUAAAUUAAACAACGACAAUGGGAAUAAUUUAUUUCGAUUCCGAUUAAGGUGAUGAAUCAAACAAAUUAGGUAAUGAGUCUUCCAAUUCCGAUUUUAGCUUAUUUUGAUUCUGAUUCUAACUUCGAACCAAAUACACCCUAAGUUCCUUAAUUUACCUAAGUCGUGUAUUCACCUAAGUUUACUAAUAAGUAAUACACUAAACACGGAAAAUCGUUCACCGUAUUCAGUAAAGAUAUUAUUCACCGUGUUUAGACACGAUGAAUAAUUUACCGUGUUCAACUUAACACACUGGCUUCAGUCCCGCUCACGUGGCACUGACGUGACGUCUGUAUGACAUGAUGAAAAUUAUUUUUAUAAAUAUAAAUUUGUUGGGACUAUUUUUAAAAUAAAAUUUUUUCGGAAAACCAAAUUCAAAAAAAAAAAAAUAAAAAAAAAGCCCCCCGCUGAGUUGAAUUACGAAUGCGGAGCGGCCAUUAAUAAGAGCUGUCGCCGAGCGGCCCCAAACCCAAAUCCAAUCUUACAUUACAUCUAUCUCUCUCUUUCUCGGCAAUGGCGCCUUUGCGUCUUUUAGUGCUGUUAUUUUUUUUAUCAUUAUUGGAGAGCCAAAGUUCCGGUGCGAGUAGAUCGAGAAAUUAAGAAAGGGUUUAGAGAAGAGGAGGAAGGGCCGCAUUUUGAUGGGGCCGGCGGCGGCGGCUGCGGCUGCGGCGAGGCCGCAGAAGGCGUCGGCGGCGGGAGGGGUUCCGGCGAGAUGGGUUUGCGCGCUCUGCGCCUCUUGCUUCGUCUUCGGCGUAUUUGUUAUCAACAGGUGCGUAAUGCCUAUCCUGCUUUCUCUCUCUCUCUCUCUCUCUCUCAAUUGAUUGGGAUUGGGAUUGGGAUUGGGAUUGGAUUUGGAUUGGGAGCGUUUGCUCUGUUAAUGAACUGAGUUUUGGUCGGGAAUGAGUUUUUACUGUUGCCGUGGGAGGGAAACCUUGAUCGAAGAUUGGACCAUUUCUUUGCUUGGUUUUUCAUGAUUUGUGUGUGCUGCUGUCUUGUUCCUUGCUUUUUAUUUUUUAUUUAUUUCAUUUUCUUUUUUUUUUUUUUGGUUGCUUGUCCUGGGUAAAAUCUGCUUGCGGGUGGACACCAUUGCUUUAAUCUUCUUUUCCGAAGAAGAGCGGAAGGAUUGCUCAACGUAAGUGUGUUAGCUUCGAUUUUUGGCCCUGCCUCUGCUUCUGGUUUCAGGAGUCUUUAGUUGAGCAGCUGGCAAAGAGAAAAGAAUGAAAGCUUUUGCCGUCGAUUCUGUGUCUCGAAAGGAGAAGCUCCCAUUUCAUGCUUCUAAUUUAUGACAGAUAUAAUGCAUCUCCUGGUAGAACUGCUAACAGCACCACAUCUUAUGGCAGGGCAAAGUAGGCCCGAAUUCACAACAAUGAUGCGAUCUGCAGCACGUGCGUUAAAUGAAUUGCAGUAGCAGCUAUUAAUGAUUCUUUUGUGCUAAUUCUCUCUUCAGAUUCUUAUAUUUGGACUGGAAUAUGACUACCGUUUAAACUCUAGCUCUUUGGCUAGAUUCAUAUGCAGCUGGCUUUAAAAUGUUGUAAAACAUGAAAAGAAGAAAGAUGCCUUGUUCAUUUAUCUGAAGAAAUAAGGAAUAUAGGUGGUGUUUGGUUCCAUGUAAUCUGUAUUUUCCAUGGAAAAUUAAAUUCGUAUUUAAAGGCAUUUGGUCUGCAUAAGAUGAGAACAGAUUUCAAAAGGAUACCUGUUUGGCUUGCAGAAAAGAAAAAUGAAUAUACUGAUAUGAGUAAGAAAGAGAGGUAUCUUCAAUGUUCAGUCUGCAUUUUCCACUUCAAAAAAUGGAAUAUGUAAACAAGUUCCCUUAAUAUGCAUAAAGCUAUUUUUCAUGAGAAAGCAUUUCAUGGGUGACCAAAUGCUCGGAAAACUGUGUUCCGGCUUGAAAAUGGUUAGCGUGCCUCUUUUAUGUGGAACCACACGCCGGCUUGUUGGUUGACAUCCUUGUUGCUCUACUAGUUGCUUCAUUUUGUCACCCCACGUAAAAUUUUUUGAAACUUAGGUCUCUACAUUUUUUGUAUAGUUUGUUUUUAUGCUGUACCUGACAUCCAGCGUAACAAAGAAAAAGAGUUCAUAUACUCACCAACACCAAUUAAUUUGGAGAAAGUUGCUUUGUAGGUUAGUGUGUUUUUUCUCAAAAUUACUUUUUCAUCUAGUUCUUUGUGACGUUUGUUUUGCUUGUUGUGACUUUCUCUUGAUUCAAUGUUGCAGGAAUAUUGUUUCCUUAACAUAAUCGUAUUGAUCCUUCAGCCAAAUUUGAUGAUAGGAUCGCUGCACCUGUUUUUAUAGUUUUAAAUAUAACAUAUUAUGUUUCUUUGAAUUUUGCAGGAUUUGGAGUGUUCCUGAGCCUGUCAAGCUAAAUGAAAAAGCUUUAUUUGUGGAAAGGACCCAAACUAGACUAUCCGAAGUUUAUAUUCCAUGUCAAAGAAAAGUAAGUGCUACAGAAUUCCCAAUGCUAUAUUUAUCUCCCUUUUCUAUAGUACUUUUGUUUGUU